rnacentral:piRNA from 2 species
UGCUAGGCAUCCAUCUUGAUACCCAUCA